rnacentral:tRNA from 1 species
CGCGGCGGUGGCGCAGUUCGCGCCCGGCCUGAUCGGCGGGCUGUACUGGCGCGGCGCCAGCCGCCGUGGC